CCAAAACUGCUCACAGAGAGUGAUGUGGGGAACAUUAUGGGGGAUUGCCAUCCUCUUGGUACCCGCUGUUUCAAGUUUGUCUCCGAAGAAAGAACUUGGGCCGAAUCUGAGCGUCACUGUGUGGCGAUGGGAGGGAACCUGGCCUCGGUGCACAGCAUAGAGGAGUACAGUUUCAUCCAGGAACUGAUCC